GCUUACGGCCGUACCACCCUGAAUAUGUCCCAUUUUGGAAGCUAAGCAGGAUCGGUCCUGGUUAGUACUUAGAUGGCAGACUGCCUGGAAAUACUAGGUGCUGUAAGCU
rnacentral:rRNA from 1 species